UACAGAGGGUGCAAGCGUUGUUCGGAAUUAUUGGGCGUAAAGGGCGCGUAGGCGGUUUGCUAAGUCAGUUGUGAAAGCCCGGGGCUCAACCCCGGAGGGUCGGCUGAUACUGGUGGACUAGAGUGUGGUAGGGGAGACUGGAAUUCCUGGUGUAGCGGUGGAAUGCGCAGAUAUCAGGAGGAACACCGAUGGCGAAGGCAGGUCUCUGGGCCAUUACUGACACUGAGAAGCGAAAGCAUGGGGAGCGAACAGG
rnacentral:rRNA from 1 species